AAUUUAAGAAAAUCAAAAUUAUAUCAAGUGUGCUCUCAGACCACAGUGGAAUAAAAUUGAAAAUCAACUCAAAAAGGAACCCUCAAAACCAUGCAAAUACAUGGAAAUUAAAUAACUUGUUCCUGAAUGAUCAUUGGGUCAGCAAUGAAAUCAAGAUGGAUAUUUAAAAAUUCUUUGAACUGAAAAAUAAUAGUAAGCCUAUCAAAACCUCUGGGAUACAGUAAAAGCAGUGCUAAGAAGAAAGUUCAUAGCAUUAAAUGAGGAAAAGGAAUGCCUGGUGGGGAUAUGAGUGCAAGGACAGGCAUUGGGCCAUUUGCAUUCCACAUCCUUCUAAAGAAGACCCCUCUGCGGCCAGGUGUGGUGGCUCACGCCUGUAAUCCCAGCACUUCUCCCUUGAUGCCUGUGUCACUCCCACCUAGACUGGCAGCCCCAUGAGAGCAGGGACCUUGUCAUUCUUGGCCACUGCUGUGUCCCUGGUGGCCAGAAUGGUGAUGCAAUGAGCCAAGAUUGUGCCACUGCACUCCAGCCUGGGCAACAGAGUGAGACCCUGUCUCGAAAAAAAAAAAAAAAGAACUAAUAACUUUUUUAAUAUAGGUAUGUCUCAAAUAUUGCACAGGGCAUACUUGUAUUAAAAAAAUCAUUAUCGGACAAUCAAAUUGAACUGGGCAACCUGUUUUCUCUGGCAACCCUAGGUGGGCGGAUACUUACCAGCUCAUGAAACAAGCUGGACCCAGGAGCUCAGGUGACAUCGUGACAUCAUGAGGAGGCUCUGUCUCCCCGACUCCCAUCUCUGGGCUUUGCUUCUGUAGCCUCAGGGAGGCUUAUCCCCUGUGAGGGUAAAAAUAGCCAUCAACUGCCCCUGCUCCUGAGGACCGGUUACAGAAGACUUCCUCCCUCCUCCUCUCCUUCCCACCCUGUGCCCACGCAGAGCCCUAGCCCUGCCUCAGGGAUCACCCUUGUUUACCAAGCUGCAGCUUUCUGCUUGGGCAGCUCUUCAGAGGCCGCCUCUGACCUGGCCAUCCACAGCUAGCUCUCCACACCUAAGCCACUUCGCCUCCAGAUUUUAGUUUCCUAAUCUGUGGUGUUAGAGGACUUGACCUGCCAGGGGUCACAAACUCAAACAACACUAGAGUUUAGGCCAGGACUUUAAAUAAAUAGGCUCCUGGAGACAGCAGCCUCAUCUAAAGGGAGUAGGUACAACUCAGCUCUUGUUCUUUGCUGUCAAGCAGGAAAGCAGGCCCAGGAUUGCCAACACUUCAGAUUCUCUGAAAGAACUAGAAAUCUGGAUAUUUAAGGAAAAAAUUCCCAAUUAUGAGUGGUGGUCCCCUAUUGCAAUCUAGAGCUGGGCUCUCAGAGGGAUUGCUGGAAACUGCAUGCCGUGGAAUGCCUGAGGGUGCUAUUUAAAAUGCGGAUUCUCUGGCCCCACACAGAACCUCUGGAACCAGCACCCAGAAAUCUGCCUUUUAGCAGGCACCUUCAGAUGAGGCUUAGGCCCAUUAAAAUGUGAGAACUACAAAUCCUGGAUUUUCCAUUUUAAUAAAGUUGGCCCUUCAUUUGCACCCAUUACAAUGGGGACAGGAUCACCUCUCGUUUAGCAUUUUCUCCCCAAUCAUUCCACCCUCCAUCCCAGUGCAACCUCAGAGCUUAGCAGGUGAAGGAACCAGGGCUUUGUGGAGCAGGAGCACCUGCCACCUGCACAACCCAGAGGGAAAGGACUUCGAUCCCCAUUUUAUUCACAGAUGAGAAACCUGAGGCUCCAAGAGGGGAGGUGACUUGCCCAAAGUCACAAAGCCAACAGUGGAGGAGCUGGAGUUCAAAUCCCAGUCCAUGUGACAUCAGAGCCCCCUGGGGAACUUUCCACCAAGCCAAACGGUCUCUUCUCAAGCGGAAACAGAAGAAAGGCAAUCAUCAUGUUGAGAGAACACUAUUGGUUCAGAGAUCUUCUCUCCCAAAGUCAGCUGCUAGCAUGACCAGUGCAGAGCGGCUGAUCAUCUGUGACAGAGGAGGGGGAACUCACCAGGGUCCUGAGAAGGAGAAGGGGGAGGCAAGGCAACCUUGAUAAAAGCGAAUGGCUCCCGGGGACAGGACAAGGGCUGCUACAGACAUCAGUUCUGAUGCACCCCCAUGUCCAUUCAGUGCCCACGGCAUCUCCCAGAAACACGGGGAGUGGCUGUCUGGCUCUGAUCUUCACCAUCUAGCCCCCACGCCCACCACCUGGCAAGUUUAGCUUGAGUUAACUAUUGCAACUGUGAAGUCUUAAAUCACAGGGAGAUCAGGCAUUUGGCAGCUGGGGGUCCCACUACACUUCGUUGUGGUCUCUAUGUCUGGCUACCAUUAGGUCAAUCAGUGCACAUGCAUGUCAUCUGGCCAUGGUUUAGUGAGGUGCAGAUUUGGAGUGAACAUUCGCUGAGUACCUCCUGUAUGCGCUGUGCUUUGUUAGGCACAAAUGACUGGAAUUUGAUGUGCUGUGUUCCAAUAGAACACAAAAGGCAAGCUGCCCCCAAAGCGCUAUCAGAAUAGACAGGAGAGAGGUGACCUUCACGUGGGAAGAAUGCAGGGCAAGCUUGUGAAGGAGGUGGCCUUGGAGCUGGGAUGGCAAAGAUGUGUUGGAACUGAGCCACACAGAAAUGAGAAGGUUAGGGCAUUCUCUGUGGCAUAAACUGUGAGCCAAAGGCAUGGAACCGAUUCUAGCCCCAUCAAUUCUGCCUCCCUAACACUUCCUGUCUGUCCCGGAAGCCCAGCACAUCCCAAAUCUCAAUUAUUCACACAAACCCCUCCAGCUGCUCCCUCUGCCCGGCCUUGCCCCCUAUACCCCCUCACAGGUAAGCUUCUCCUGCUUACUCCCCAAAACGCCAUCCAUCUCAGUCUGCUUCCUGGGAAACUCAACCUAAGGCCCCUUCCGAGGGCGCUCAUCACAUUCAGAGCUGCCACCUGCUCAUCUCCCGGCAGCCCCUUCCCAACUAAGACCCCAGCAGAGGAAGCCUGGGAACCUCAGACCUUCGCAAAAGGCCUUGUGGCACCAAAGCCCCAGGGUCACCUCAACCUCCACAAGCUCAGAAAGCCUUGAAGGUUGUUGGGCUUCUUUAUUUAUACGUUUUACUA
rnacentral:lncRNA from 1 species